rnacentral:lncRNA from 1 species
CUCCGGCAUCUGGCGCAGAGGCGCCCGGCGGGGAAAAGUUUGCAGCCCGGGCUUUGGGGCGCGCGGGGGGCAGGAAUUUUUCUGAGAAGAGAGGGGCAUAGAGAGGCGGCGCGGGUGGGGAGAGAAAAAAGGAACGCAGGGGGGAGGGGGAAAAGCAGCUUGCAGGAUGGGAGUUUCUUGCAGAAUUUACAGGAUUAAGGAGUUUGGGGAAGUCGCAGAGCUGCAGCGGAAAGGCAGGGGUCUGAGACUACUUUUGAGAAGAGAAACAACGCAAAACGAUCGCUGGAGGGCCAGAGCCCUGGUCGAAGAAGCAGACACAGGUUCCCACGGCGUCUGACGCCUGCGGAGCAAGUCCAGAGCCAGCUGGACUCGCAGCCUCUGGCCCGGCGGCACCAACUCCUCACUGGGUCAUUUUGAGCGCGCUGUGCCCACCUUUUCUGUUGCGUGUGGACGUGGGGAGGAUCUUCUAAGUCCCUCCAACGAAGGCAAGUGUGAGACUCUGGCCCUUUAUUUGUAAGAAGCAAGCCUUCAGAUUGCAGAAGUGUCGCGCGGGUCGCCGUGCGUUGCGCGAGUGGGAAGAUGGAGGAGGCCGGCACGCUGCUUUCGUGGACGCAAGUGAACCGGGCGUGAAGGCAGGGUGCGAGCUCUGCCCUUGGCCCAGCCCUGCGUGGGCGCCGUCCCAGAUUCCGGGCGGUGCGGGGUGCAGAGAUCUGGAGAGACUUGCGGGCUCCCCAGCGCAGGCUGCUCUGGGAUUUCGUUGGAAGAUCCGGCAGAGCCUUGGAGGAGAGGGCCCGGGAGGCUGUGUGUGCAGCGGAAACUUGUACGAAUGCCCCCACAGCGGAAAUGGUGCGCACGAGUAAUUUCUGCGGUGCACCCUUUUAAAAAUUGACAAGUGAACAAGAUCAAUUUUUUAAGAAAGCAAAGGUAGAAAACAAAAGGCGUGCGACUUCUUGACUGGCUUGUUCCCGCCUUUCUUCCUUCUCUAUACUCAGAUCAGAAACUUUUCUUUAAUUGCUCUUAUUCAGUGCGACAACUUUUAAUAAAAGCAUUUGCAUUUUAAGCCUGAGUUGCAACCAUAGAUUUAUUGCGAAGUGACAACGUGUCUAUGGAAUAUUUUCGCAGAU